AUGGAACAACGUUCAGAGUACGAAGCACGUGGUGCACGCCCCAGACGACACAUUCGUCCACCAGCCCGCUAUGCAGAUUAUGAUGUGGAUAAUCUGGGCUAUAUCAGUCAGAGAUACAGUGAGGACGUAGAGACGCUUCACCAGGAGGGAAUGGUCAGGAUGACCCCCCUCACCGCCACUUAUGACUCUUCCCUACUGAGCCGCAUGCAGAGACAGCAUGCUAGUCCUCAUGAGAUGGACUCGUGCUAUGGAGCCGAGGGCCAACAGUACACCCAGGAGACUCCGCAAGCCCCCCUGCUGUCACCCGAGAGUGAUCUUGGGGAACGGUUCUAUGAGCGCUCCACUCCCCUACAUCCAGCACCGCACACCAGACACCCACAUGAGGAUGUAAAGACAGAGUUAGAGGACAUCCGACAUGAGAGACACCUUCUCCAGCGGACCCAGCGCAGCAUGUCAUCAGAUAUGGUGGAGCUCAGAGCACUGCGAGCAGACAUGAGACAGUUGGUGGACGCUGUUCAGAACUUACAGAGCCCUUCUCCUCAUACAAAUCAGCCUGAAUCCAUGCAGCCACCGCCACCGGCUGCACCUGCUGAAGAGGAUGACUGGCCUGCUCCCCCCCCGUGGCCAGAUCCAGCAAUGAUGGGACUGUUACUUGGGGACCAACCACCCCCGCCACCGCCACAUCACAGUGUUCAGGCAACAGCCGAGCUUCCAUAUGUUAGAGAAGAAGUUAUAUCGGCCCCUAUUGCUAAGCCGCCUAAGAGCCUACUACAAGUUCAGCAGUCAGCAUAUGGCAUCGUUCCUGAUACCAGACCACCAAACUCUGAUUCUUAUCAACGUCCCUGGUUUAAGCCGGUUCAGCCUCCAUUGCAGUCCUUCAGUUUGCCUCCAGCUGAGCCUAAGUAUUCUGCAGCUUGUAGUGUUAUCAAGAGCACGCCGGGAUGCAAUCCCCAGCAGACUAAUGGUGGGUCCUGGAUGCAACCACAACCAUUGCCUCUAAACAGGACCUCCCAUAUUCCAGAGUCCAGUUACUAUGGACCCCGCCCAACCAUUCGCAACUUCUCCCAUCGUGACCCAAGCGAGUUUGCGCGGCUGAGGCUGUCAUUGGAGAACCUCUUACCACCAGGAGCCACUGAGCUGUUUAAGUAUCAAGUUUUGGUCGAUCACCUGCAACUAGAAGAGGCUCGGUUGAUAGCAGACGCUUACCUCAACUCUCCAACACCCUUCUCUGACACGAUGGCGGCCUUGAAUGAUAAGUUUGGUCAACCACAUCAGAUUGCAUUGAGGCGUAUUGCUGCUGUGUUGGACUCACCAGAUAUCAGGCGGGGAGAUGUUGCUGCAUUUGAGAAGUUUUCACUCCAGGUACAGUCGCUGGUGGGAAUGUUGAGGACAUUAGGCCUUGAGGGAGAAGCAGAGUUACAGUGUGGCUCACAUGUUGCCCGCCUGCUGAGCAAAUUACCACCUGAGCAGAGAGCUGAGUUUCGCCGCUGCAUGUUCCAUCGAGGCACACAAACUCAUGCCUUACCUGAUCUAUCAGAGUGGCUGAAGUAUGAGUCCUGGUGUCAGGACUCUGAAGGACAAUUAGCAGUGAAAGGGGCUAGGGAGAGGCCAGUGCCCCGACCUGAUGGUCGCCAGAGUAAUCGGCCCACUACCGUGCUCCAUAGUGGGAACAAUGCAGACAAGAAGCCAGAAGGUCAAAUCCCAGGCAGCUCCUUUAAGGGGAACAAGAGUAAGCCUUACUGUCCAUUCUGCAAUAAU
rnacentral:lncRNA from 15 species